AUUGUUGCCCGCACUUCCUCUGUUAGACGAAAUGAUAUUCAAACUCUCUCCCGCCUAGACUAUCUCACCACCAAACCUCACACGAAAUCACUUCACCGCAGCCCACUGUACAGAGGACAUCGGCACGGCCACUCACAGUCGGAAAUCACCACUGCCACAGUCGCAGAUCACAUGUUCUCUCUCUCGCUCUCUCUCGCUCUCGGUCUGUCAGUACUUGGUGAAAUUUGUGGAAGAAAUUGUGAGGCUCGAACAUGCUUCAUUUCCAAAUAAGCCAAUUUAUCUGGUGGGCGAUUCCUUUGGGAGAUGCCUAGCACUUGCUGUCGUAGCUUGUAAUCCAACCAUUAACCUGGUAGUAAUAUUAGCCAAUCCAGCAAGUUCAUUUGGCAGGUCACAGCUCCUACCUUUGUUCCCUCUCCUGGAGGCUAUGCCCAAUGAAUCACAGUGCCUUACCUUCUUAGCUUUGUUAUGGGUAUAUGCUCUGUUGCUUUAAAAUUUUUUAUUUGUAUUCCUAAUAUUUUUGUGACUUGAAUUUGAAGAAAUUCAAAUUUGUCUACUACUGGUAAUUGUGGCAUCCUUGUUAAAUUGCCUAUGUGGAUUUGAUAAAACAAUCGAGCACUGUGAUCAUAUGUGCCCAAACUGUCUACUUGACUGAUUUCUUUCACAUCAUCUAUUCAUAAUAGUCUUUCACUUUUGCUCAUCAACAUGACCUUUAAUGGUUCAUUGAAUAAAUUUUAAAGCAUGAGCUUCGUUCAGAUAUGUGGUUAUAUGCGUAAAUCAGUAACCAAUUAUAUCUAUGAGAACGUUACUGAUUUGCUCCAGUCAUGGAAAAAUCAACAGUUGGCCUCAAGAAGAACAACUCUGGCCAAAUUUGACGGCAAGUUUUAGAAGGAUGGGCUCAAUGCGAAGCUGCCAAACCAGACCUAAGCUAUCUGAAAAUGUCUGGAAAGCACUUGUAGGUUGGGAGUUAGAGCUAAAAACACUUCAAACUUAACCGAAAAAGGACGCUAAGGGGGCGAAACUAUGAAACAGCCCCCGAACCACUAUGUGGCUAUCACGAACAGCUUCCCCAUCACAAAUAGGACCUGUGACAAUAGACGGAAUGUAAUUGGCACUUGUAGGUUGGGAGUUAGAGCCAAAAACACCUCAAACUUAACCGAAAAAGGGCAUUAAGGGGGCAAAACUACGAAACAGCCCCCGAACCACUGUAUGGCUAUCACGAAUAGUUUCCCUAUCACCAAUAGGACCUGUGACAAUAGACGAAAUGUAAUUUGCACUUCUAGGUUGGGAGCUAGAGGCCAAAACGCCUCAAACUUAACUGAAAAAAGGCGUUAAGGGGGCGAAAGUAUGAAACAGCCCCCGAACCACCAUGUGGCUCUCACAAACAGCUUUCCCAUCACAAAUUAGACCUGUGACAACAGACGGAAUGCAAUUUGCAUUUGUAGGUUGGGAGUUAGAGCAAAAAACGCCUCAAAUUUAACUGAAAAAGGGCGUUAAGAGAGCGAAACUAUGAAACGGCCCCCGAACCACCAUGUGACUGUCACAAACAGCUUCCCCAUCACAAAUAGGACCUGUGACAAUAGACGGAAUGUAAUUUUCACUUGUAGGUUGGGAGUUAGAGCCCAAAACACCUCAAACUUAACCAAAAAAGGGGUUUAAGGGGGCGAAACUACGAAAUAGCCCCCAAACCACCAUGUGGCUAUCACGAACAGCUUUCCCCUCACAAAUCGGACCUGUGACAAGAGACAGAAUGUAAUUUUCAUUUGUAGGUUGGGAGUUAGAGCCAAAAAUGCCUCAAACUUAAUCGAAAAAGGGCGUUAAGGGAGCGAAACUAUGAAACUGCCCCCGAACCACCAUGUGGCUAUCACAAAUAGCUUCCCUAUCACAAAUAGGACCUGUGACAAUAGACGAAAUGUAAUUUGCACUUGUAGGUUGGGAGUUAGAGCCCAAAACACCUUAAACUUAACCGAAAAAAGGGCGUUAAGGGGGCGAAACUACGAAACAGCCUCCGAACCACCGUAUGGCUAUCACAAAUAGCUUUCCCAUCACAAAUCGGACCUAUGACAAUAGACAAAAUGUAAUUUGAAUUUGUAGGUUGGGAGUUAGAGUCAAAAACGCCUCAAACUUAACUGAAAAAGGGCGUUAAGUGAGCAAAACUAUGAAACUGCCCCCAAACCACUGUGUGGUUGUCACGAACAGUUUCUCCAUCACAAAUAGGACUUGUAGCAAUAGACGGAAUGUAAUUUGAACUUGUAAGUUGGGAGUUAGAACCAAAAACACCUCAGACUUAACUAAAAAAGGGUGUUAAAGGGGCAAAACUAUGAAACAGCCACCGAACCACUGUGUUGCUGUCACGAACAACUUCUCCAUCACAAAUAAGGCCUGUGACAAUAGACGGAAUGUAAUUUGCACUUGUAGGUUGGGAGUAAGAGCCAAAAACGCCUCAAACUGAAAAAGCUGUAUCGACAUCUAUAACAUAUAAAAACAAUAUAUCAAGUUUUGAGACUACAUUUUUUCUUUAAAAAGUUGUAUUGACAUCUAUAUAUUUUCUACAUCAUUUGAUUUGGCUCCCAUUGAUUAUUGGAUAUGACUAGCAUUAUAUGCGCUGCUUUGGUACUUUCCCUUGUUCAUUUUCAGGAUCUUACAAAUAUGUCUUCAUCCAAUGCCUUCAAGUUCCCCAUUAUUAAGUGUAAAAUUUUAAAAAUUUUAAACUUCUCUAGUUGAAAUAGUGACCUGCUAAAUAUAGAUGUUAACCAUCACACUAUAUUUGCAAAAGGAAUCACAAGACAAAAUAAAGCUUUGUUAACAUCAUCAAGACGGCUCCUUUAGUACCAUUUUCAUGGGGAUAGGUAGAAUUUGGGAAACUGAUUAGUUGCAACAUUAAAUUAUUUUUCCAUUAGAGCAACUUUACUAUUUUCAUUCUCAGAGUUUGUAUAAUGAUAUUUUUCUCUCUAUCCAAGCAAAGAGGAGUUGUGUCAAGUUGGAUAUUUACAGAAAGUUCUCAAAUGCAUUAGCAGGAACAAUGAUUGCUUCCGUUGCUUGGAUAGGAUAUGAGAUGACUUUGUUGCGUGGACUUUCAGAGUAAUAUUUUGGUGUAUGGUGAAGAAAUUUCACUUUUGUAUAGAACUAAUAUAAUACUUUUGUCGUCAUCGGCUUUUGUGCAGUUCACUAUGACUGAUACAGAAAACUUUUGGCAGCCAACAGAUAAUUACUGGCAUGGUAGAUAGAUCACAUUUUGUCACCGUACAUAUAUAUGAUUUUUUGCCGUGGUACAUAGACGUACUUUUGUCUUCAUACAAACAUCACCUUUU